AACGAACGUUAGCGGCGCGCCUAACACAUGCAAGUCGAGCGAGAAAGGGCUUCGGCCCCGGUAAAGCGGCGCACGGGUGAGUAACACGUGGGUAACCUGCCCUCGGGUUGGGGAUAACAUUCCGAAAGGAGUGCUAAUACCGAAUAAGACCACGACCUCGAAAGAGGAUGCGGUCAAAGCUGGCCUCUAUACAUAAGCUAGCGCCUGAGGAUGGGCCCGCGGCGCAUCAUGGUAGUUGGUGAGGUAACGGCUCACCAAGCCGAAGACGCGUAGCUGGUCUGAGAGGAUGAUCAGCCACACUGGAACUGAGACACGGUCCAGACUCCUACGGGAGGCAGCAGUGGGGAAUCUUGCGCAAUGGGCGAAAGCCUGACGCAGCGACGCCGCGUGAGUGAUGAAGGCC
rnacentral:rRNA from 1 species